GAAAUUCCUUUUUACCAUAAACCUUAUCAUUUUGAAAUUACAUGGGAUUCUCAUCCCAAUCUAAAAUUAGGGAAGUAUGGAAUACUUAGAUCUCUGGGUCUGCAACUUAUAUUUUGAAGAGGAAGCUGAAGUUCAUACGGGUCAGUUUGCAGGUGUGGAAUGUUGGAGAUAAAUCCGUAUAAGUAACGAAUAAGAAAAAAAAUAAUAAUAAUUAAAAAGAUCAAAC
rnacentral:lncRNA from 1 species